GCUGUGAUGGCCGAGUGGUUAAGGCGUUGGACUUGAAAUCCAAUGGGGUUUCCCCUCGUAGGUUCAAACCCUACUCACAGCG
rnacentral:tRNA from 2 species